CUUCUAUGACGUUAGCGGCGGACGGGUGAGUAACACGUGGGCAACCUGCCUGUAAGACUGGGAUAACUUCGGGAAACCGAAGCUAAUACCGGAUAGGAUCUUCUCCUUCAUGGGAGAUGAUUGAAAGAUGGUUUCGGCUAUCACUUACAGAUGGGCCCGCGGUGCAUUAGCUAGUUGGUGAGGUAACGGCUCACCAAGGCCACGAUGCAUAGCCGACCUGAGAGGGUGAUCGGCCACACUGGGACUGAGACACGGCCCAGACUCCUACGGGAGGCAGCAGUAGGGAAUCUUCCGCAAUGGACGAAAGUCUGACGGAGCAACGCCGCGUGAGUGAUGAAGGCUUUCGGGUCGUAAAACUCUGUUGUUAGGGAAGAACAAGUACAAGAGUAACUGCUUGUACCUUGACGGUACCUAACCAGAAAGCCACGGCUAACUACGUGCCAGCAGCCGCGGUAAUACGUAGGUGGCAAGCGUUAUCCGGAAUUAUUGGGCGUAAAGCGCGCGCAGGCGGUUUCUUAAGUCUGAUGUGAAAGCCCACGG
rnacentral:rRNA from 2 species